CCUACGGGGGGCAGCAGUAGGGAAUAUUGCUCAAUGGGGGAAACCCUGAAGCAGCAACGCCGCGUGGAGGAUGAAGGUUUUCGGAUUGUAAACUCCUUUUGUUAGAGAAGAUAAUGACGGUAUCUAACGAAUAAGCACCGGCUAACUCCGUGCCAGCAGCCGCGGUAAUACGGGGGGUGCAAGUGUUACUCGGAAUCACUGGGCGUAAAGAGCGCGUAGGCGGGAUAGCAAGUCAGAUGUGAAAUCCUAGGGCUUAACCAUAGAACUGCAUUUGAAACUGGUAUUCUAGAGUAUGGGAGAGGUAGGUGGAAUUCUUGGUGUAGGGGUAAAAUCCGUAGAGAGCAAGAGGAAUACUCAUUGCGAAGGCGACCUGCUAGAACAUAACUGACGCUGAUGCGCGAAAGCGUGGGGAGCAAACAGGAUUAGAUACCCCAGUAGUC
rnacentral:rRNA from 1 species